rnacentral:rRNA from 1 species
UACGGAGGGUGCAAGCGUUAUCCGGAUUUAUUGGGUUUAAAGGGUCCGUAGGCGGAUCUGUAAGUCAGUGGUGAAAUCUCACAGCUUAACUUGAUGAAACUAGCCAUUGAUACUGCAGGUCUUGAGUGUUGUUGAAGUAGCUGGAAUAAGUAGUGUAGCGGUGAAAUGCAUAGAUAUUACUUAGAACACCAAUUGCGAAGGCAGGUUACUAAGCAACAACUGACGCUGAUGGACGAAAGCGUGGGGGAGCGAAACAGG